CGGUCUCAGUUCGGACUGAAGGCUGAAAUUCGCCUUCACGAAGUCGGAAUUGCUAGUAAUGGCAGGUCAGCAUACUGCCGUGAAUACGUUCCCGGGCCUUGUACACACCGCCCGUCACACCAUGAGAGUCGGGAACACCCGAAGUCCGUAGCCUAACCGCAAGGGGGGCGCGGCCGAAGGUGGGUUCGAUAAUUGGGGUGAAGUCGUAACAAGGUACC
rnacentral:rRNA from 1 species